rnacentral:lncRNA from 1 species
UAAUUUCCAACUGCCAAAAAUGGAAAGGUCUUCUCCUCAACUUUACAUCAUCAAGCAAGCUUCAAAUCAAAUUUUGUCCAACAUGAAAGUUGAAGAUCUUGCUCUUACCUUUCCAAAAAGUCCAAGAACACCCAUUUCUCAUGUGUGGUUGGCAAGUUAUGGUCAAAUCAUUUUCAAGAAAAGUUGAACUUCAACAAGGCAUAAC